rnacentral:rRNA from 1 species
AUACAGAGGGUGCAAGCGUUAAUCGGAAUUACUGGGCGUAAAGCGCGCGUAGGUGGGUUAUUAAGUUGGAUGUGAAAUCUACGGGCUUAACCUGUAGUGGUCAUCCAAUACUGGUAACCUAGAGUACGAAAGAGGGGAGUGGAAUUUCCAGUGUAGCGGUGAAAUGCGUAGAUAUUGGAAGGAACACCAGUGGCGAAGGCGUCUCCCUGGUUCGAUACUGACACUGAGGUGCGAAAGCGUGGGUAGCAAACAGGAUUAGAAACCCCAGUAGUCC